rnacentral:rRNA from 1 species
AUUGAACGCUGGCGGCAGGCCUAACACAUGCAAGUCGAGCGAGCGGCGGACGGGUGAGUAAUGUCUGGGAAACUGCCUGAUGGAGGGGGAUAACUACUGGAAACGGUAGCUAAUACCGCAUACCAUCAGAUGUGCCCAGAUGGGAUUAGCUAGUAGGUGGGGUAACGGAUCACCUAGGCGACGAUCCCUAGCUGGUCUUAGAGGAGGACUAGCCAGACUGGAACUGGGAGACGGUCAAGACGCCAACGGGAGGGAGAAGUGGGGAAGAUUGCACAAUGGGCGCAAGCCUGAUGCAGCGAUGCCGCGGGUAUGAAGAAGGACUUCGGGUUGUAAAGUACGUUCAGCGGGGAGGCGUUACCCGCAGAAGAAGCACCGGAUAACUACGUGCCAGCAGCCGCGGUAAUUC